GAUGAACGCUGGCGGCGUGCUUAACACAUGCAAGUCGAACGGAAAGGCCCAAGCUUGCUUGGGUACUCGAGUGGCGAACGGGUGAGUAACACGUGGGUGAUCUGCCCUGCACUUCGGGAUAAGCCUGGGAAACUGGGGCUAAUACCGGAUAGGACGAUGUGUUGCAUGCCGGUGUGGAAAGUUUUUUCGGUGUGGGAUGAGCUCGCGGCCUAUCAGCUUGUUGGUGGGGUGAUGGCCUACCAAGGCGUCGACGGGGAGCCGGCCUGAGAGGGGGUACGGCCGCAAUGGGGGGGAGGUGCGGCCCCGACUCCUACGGGGGGAAGCAGUGGGGGAGAUUGCACAAUGGGGGGAAGCAGGAUGAAGCGACGCCGCGUGGGGGAUGACGGCCGUCGGGGUGUAAACUCCUUUCGCUAGGGAUGAAGCGUUUUUGUGAAGGUAACUGGAGAAGAAGCAACGGCUAAAUACGUG
rnacentral:rRNA from 1 species